AUGCUUGGGGUCUUCAGCUUAGGCUUAGUUACAGUCUUCUGCAGGGGUUUAGUUGGCCUCUCCUGCAGAGUCUGAGUUGUGGUCUCCUCCAGAGGGUGAGUUGGGGUCUCCUGGGGAUGCUUAGUUGGGGUCUCCUCCAGAGGCUUAGCUGGGAUCUCCUCUACAAGCUGAGUUGGAGUGUCCUCCUGAGGAUGCGUUGGAGUCUUCUGCAGAUUCUGAGUUGAGGUCUCUUGUAAAGUCUGAGUUGGGGUCUUUUGCAGAUGUUGAGUUGGAGUCUCCUGCAUAUGCUGAGUAGAGGUCUCCUGUAGUGGCUGAGUUGGGGUCUUUUGCAGAUGUUGAGUUGGCGUCUCUUGCCGAUGCUGAGUUGGGGUCUCCUUCAGAUGCUGAGUUGGGGUCUCCUGCAGAUGCUGAGUUGACGUCUUUUGCAGAUGUUGAGUUGGGGUCUCCUGCAGAUGCUGAGUUGACGUCUUUUGCAGAUGCUGAGUUGGGGUCUCCUGCAGAUGCUGAGUUGGGGUCUCCUGCAGAUGCUGAGUUGACGUCUUUUGCAGAUGUUGAGUUGGGGUCUCCUGCAGAUGCUGAGUUGACGUCUUUUGCAGAUGUUGAGUUGGGGUCUCCUGCAGAUGCUGAGUUGGGGUCUUUUGCAGAUGUUGAAUUGGGGUGGUCUGCAGAUGCUGAGUUGGGGUCUUUUGUAGAUGCUGAGUUGGGGUCUCCUGCAGAUGCUGAGUUGAGAUCUCCUGUAGAGGCUGAGUUGGGGUCUCCUGCAGAUGUUGAGUUGGGGUCUUCUGCAGAGGCUGAGUUUGAGUCUCAUGGAGAUGCUGAGUUGAGGUCUCCUGCAGAAGCUGAGUU